rnacentral:rRNA from 1 species
UGGGGAAUUUUGCACAAUGGGGGAAACCCUGAUGCAGCGACGCCGCGUGAUUUAGAAGGCCUUCGGGUUGUAAAAAUCUUUUCUAUGGGAAGAAAAUGACAGUACCAUAGGAAUAAGGACCGGCUAAUUACGUGCCAGCAGCCGCGGUAAUACGUAAGGUCCGAGCGUUGUCCGGAAUCAUUGGGCGUAAAGGGUACGUAGGCGGGUAGCAAGUUAGAAGUGAAAUCCUAUAGCUCAACUAUAGUAAGCUUUUAAAACUGCUCAUCUUGAGGUAUGGAAGGGGAAGUGGAAUUCCUAGUGUAGCGGUGAAAUGCGCAGAUAUUAGGAGGAAUACCGGUGGCGAAGGCGACUUUCUGGCCAUAACCUGACGCUGAGGUACGAAAGCGUGGGUAGCAAACAGG